CGAUCUGUCAAGCUUACAGGCAUGGCAGAUGGAAUUUCUCGCAUGCCCACUACCUGGCAUGCCCGCAGGUUGGCAAUCUCAUUGGUGGGGGAUUUAAAAUCCUAUGGUUGUCCUGAUUUAAAAAAAAAUAAAAAUAGAUGUAUUUUUUAAAUUAAAUAAUUAAAAACGAAUAAUUUUCAUUAACAUUACAAUAACACAUGUGAAAAUUAACUCUUUUAUUGAUUGUUUGAAUUUUUAUAACAUUGGUUGUUACAUACAACAAGUAUACAUGAUUAAAAAUCUAUUAAAUUCAAUUCUGUCCAAUUUCUAAGCCUUUCCCAAUGGUUUAAACCAUUUGGACAGGCAACCACAAUUGAUUUUAAAACCAGAUUACCAACCAUUCUUUAACUUGUUCAAACUCAGUGAAAAAGUGAUUAUUUUUCAGUUUAAAAACUCCUUUCUCAAUAGACAUCAAGGAUCACUACUCGAUAUUCUUUCAAACUCCUAUGCAAAAAGAAUUGGUUUAAAGCUUCAAAUAUGGCUCUAAAAUCACUUCGAGACCUAUCAAAAUAUUCAGACUUCUCAAGUCAAUAUGAGCCCAAGAAUUUGGGGAAAUUUUUCAAUUAAACUGGCUAUUGCUUGGCUAGUUCGAUAUUCCUAGGUGUUUUACUACAUGUAAACUAUUUUUAGAACUCAAAAUCUAGCUUAAAUGGAAUUAAAAAGCUAAAAAAAAUCAUGAAUGAAGUGUCGAGUUCGACCACUUACCAGAAAGGAAAUGGGUUGUCUAAGACCUGGCUUAAUUUCUCAAUAUCCAACAAAUUUUCUGGUUUCUAGGUGGUCAAAAAUUGUUUCCCAUCCACAGUGGUCACUCUCUCACUAUUUUUGUUUCCUCUUUCUCUUGAAUUUUGGCUCACACAGAUGAGCUUAUCUCCUGUUUCGGGUUUUUUCUGCCCAUUGAAGCGAAGAAGAAGAAGAAGGUCAACAUUUUCAAGGGCAAGGGAAACCAUAAAGAUCCGGGCCAUCGAUCUGCAUGCAGUGUUUCUCAGUCGUUUGAUUAGAUUUAUUGUCGAGGGCAUUUUCAUAAAAUUUCUUGCAUUUUAAAUUUCGACUAUUAGAUCAAACCUGUAUGCAAUCUGGGUCGUUGGUUUC
rnacentral:lncRNA from 1 species